rnacentral:rRNA from 1 species
UGGGGAAUAUUGCACAAUGGAGGGAACUCUGAUGCAGCGACGCCGCGUGAGUGAUGAAGGAAUUCGUUUCGUAAAACUCUGUUCUAUGGGAAGAAAAGGACUGUACCAUAGGAGAAAGCUCCGGCUAAAUACGUGCCAGCAGCCGCGGUAAUACGUAUGGAGCGAGCGUUGUCCGGAAUUAUUGGGCGUAAAGGGUGCGCAGGCGGCUUUACAAGUUGGAUGUGAAAUAUUGUGGCUCAACCACAAACGUGCAUCCAAAACUGCAAAGCUUGAGUUAAGGAGAGGUAAGUGGAAUUCCUGGUGUAGCGGUGGAGUGCGUAGAUAUCAGGAGGAAUACCGGUGGCGAAGGCGACUUACUGGACUUAAACUGACGCUCAGGCACGAAAGCGUGGGGAGCAAACAGG